AUCUAGCUGACGAGUCCCGAAUAGGAUGAAACGCACGUGCUAGU
rnacentral:hammerhead_ribozyme from 1 species